rnacentral:rRNA from 1 species
AUUGAACGCUGGCGGCAUGCUUUACACAUGCAAGUCGAACGGCAGCGCGGGUUUCGGCCUGGCGGCGAGUGGCGAACGGGUGAGUAAUACAUCGGAACGUGCCCAGUAGUGGGGGAUAGCUCGGCGAAAGCCGGAUUAAUACCGCAUACGACCUGAGGGUGAAAGCGGGGGAUCUUCGGACCUCGCGCUAUUGGAGCGGCCGAUGGCAGAUUAGCUAGUUGGUGGGGUAAAGGCCUACCAAGGCGACGAUCUGUAGCUGGUCUGAGAGGACGACCAGCCACACUGGAACUGAGACACGGCCCAGACUCCUACGGGAGGCAGCAGUGGGGAAUUUUGGACAAUGGGCGAAAGCCUGAUCCAGCAAUGCCGCGUGUGUGAUGAAGGCCUUCGGGUUGUAAAGCACUUUUGGCGGGAACGAAAAGGACUGUGCCAAUACCACGGUUCGAUGACGGUACCCGCAGAAUAAGCACCGGCUAACUACGUG